CCUACGGGAGACAGCAGUGGGGAAUAUUGCACAAUGGGGGAAACCCUGAUGCAGCGACGCCGCGUGAGCGAUGAAGUAUUUCGGUAUGUAAAGCUCUAUCAGCCGGGAAGAAAAUGACGGUACCUGACUAAGAAGCCCCGGCUAACUACGUACCAGCAGCCGCCGUAAUACGUAGGGGGCAAGGGUUAUCCGGAUUUACUGGGUGUAAAGGGAGCGUAGUGGGCGGUGCAAGCCAGGUGGGAAAGCCUGGGGCUCAACCCCGGGACAGCAUUUGGAACUGGUCUGCUAGAGUGUCGGAGAGGCAGGCGGAAUGCCUGGUGUAGCGGUGAAAUGCGUAGAUAUUAGGAGGAACACCAGUGGUGAAGGCGGCCUGCUGGACGAUGACUGACGUUGAGGCUCGAAAGCGUGGGGAGCAAACAGGAUUAGAUACCCGAGUAGUC
rnacentral:rRNA from 1 species